UACGGAGGGUGCAAGCGUUAUCCGGAUUUAUUGGGUUUAAAGGGUGCGUAGGCGGCCUAUUAAGUCAGGGGUGAAAGACGGUAGCUCAACUAUCGCAGUGCCUUUGAUACUGAUGGGCUUGAAUAUACUAGAGGUAGGCGGAAUGUGACAAGUAGCGGUGAAAUGCAUAGAUAUGUCACAGAACACCGAUUGCGAAGGCAGCUUACUAUGGUAUUAUUGACGCUGAGGCACGAAAGCGUGGGGAUCAAACAGG
rnacentral:rRNA from 1 species